ACUACCGACACACAGGAGUACACAGGUAAAUACUACCGACACACAGGAGUACACAGGUAAAUACUACCGACACACAGGAGUACACAGGUAAAUACUACCGAUACACAGGAGUACACAGGUAAAUACUACCGACACACAGGAGUACACAGGUAAAUACUACCGACACACAGGAGUACACAGGUAAAUACUACCGACACACAGGAGUACACAGGUAAAUACUACCGAUACACAGGAGUACACAGGUAAAUACUACCGAUACACAGGAGUACACAGGUAAAUACUACCGAUACACAGGAGUACACAGGUAAAUACUACCGACACACAGGAGUACACAGGUAAAUACUACCGACACACAGGAGUACACAGGUAAAUACUACUAAUAUACAGGAGCACAUAGGUAAAUACUACCGAUACACAGGAGUACACAGGUAAAUACUACCGAUACACAGGAGUACACAGGUAAAUACUACCGACACACAGGAGUACACAGGUAAAUACUACCGAUACACAGGAGUACACAGGUAAAUACUACCGAUACACAGGAGUACACAGGUAAAUACAACGCAGGCUGAUGUUGUGUGUCUGUGUUGUGUGUCUGUGUUGUGUGUCUGUCAGG